rnacentral:lncRNA from 10 species
CUGAAGCAUUCAUUGGGUGUGGAGGAAGAAAUUGCUUCAGGCACUGAGUGAUCUGACCCAUGACCAGAAACCUGAAUCCAGCAAAGGACAAAGUUGCGCACAUUGCGUCAGAUACAAUUUCUGCCAUUUACCAGGAAGAACUAGGGGAACCAGGAGAAGGGCCACCUGCUUGGGGCGGGCCGCCCAUCGUCUGAGAUGUGGGGAGCUCCUCUGCCCCGCCGCCCUGUCUGGGAUGUGAGAAGCGCCUCUGCCCGGCCGCGACCCCGUCUGGGAUCUGAGGAGUGUCUCUGCCCGACCGCCACCCCAUCUGGGAGGUGAGGAGCGUCUCUGCCCGGCCGCCCCGUCUGAGAAGUGAGGAGCCCCUCCGCCUGGCAGCCGCCCCAUCUGGGAAGUGAGGAGCGUCUUGCCGGG